rnacentral:rRNA from 1 species
GCACUUGUGUUAAUGGUAGCACAACAUGGACCGCCAGGGUAUUACGAGUGCAAACUUAAAAUCCAAAGGAUUUGACGGUGUCCCACCCACCUAGAGGAGCCUGUUCUAUAAUCGAUAAUCCUCGAUAUACCUCACCAUUUCUUGCUAUCCAGUCUGUAUACCUCCGUCGCAAGCUUACCAUUUGAGUGCAAAAAGUAAGUUUAAUGAUUAUUCACCAACACGUCAGGUCAAGGUGCAACCGAUGAAAAGGGAAGCAAUGGGCUACAAUCUCUAUAAUAGAACAUACGAAAUACUACAUGAAAAAUAGUCAUGAAGGCGGAUUUAGUAGUAAAAGAAGACUAGCAUGCUUCUUUUAACAAGGCUCUGGGACGUGUACAAACCGCCCGUCACCCUCUUCAAUAGCAUAUUUUAAUUUAUAAUCAUCAAAAGCACUUUAGAAGAGGCAAGUCGUAACAUGGUAAGUGUACUGGAAAGUGCACUUGGCAAAU